rnacentral:rRNA from 1 species
CGUGCCUAAUACAUGCAAGUCGAGCGGAAUGAUGAAGAAGCUUGCUUCUUCUGAUUUUAGCGGCGGACGGGUGAGUAACACGUGGGCAACCUACCUUGUAGAUUGGGAUAACUCCGGGAAACCGGGGCUAAUACCGAAUAAUCCAUUUUGCUUCAUGGCGAGAUGUUGAAAGACGGUUUCGGCUGUCACUAUAAGAUGGGCCCGCGGCGCAUUAGCUAGUUGGUAGGGUAAUGGCCUACCAAGGCGACGAUGCGUAGCCGACCUGAGAGGGUGAUCGGCCACACUGGGACUGAGACACGGCCCAGACUCCUACGGGAGGCAGCAGUAGGGAAUCUUCCACAAUGGACGAAAGUCUGAUGGAGCAACGCCGCGUGAGUGAAGAAGGUUUUCGGAUCGUAAAACUCUGUUGUAAGGGAAGAACACGUACGAGAGUAACUGCUCGUACCUUGACGGUACCUUAUUAGAAAGCCACGGCUAACUACGUG